rnacentral:rRNA from 1 species
GACCAUCAUCUAAGGCCCCAAAAUUGUAGUUAAGUUGGAAAGGAUGUGGAACGGCCAUAACAGCCAGGAGGUUGGCUUAGAAGCAGCCAUCCUUUAAAGAAAGCGUAACAGCUCACUGGUCUAAUAGCUAUUCUGCGCCUAAAAUGUGACGGGGAUCAAACUACAUGCCGAAGAUAUGGACUUAAAUAAUUUCGAUUAGUUAAGUGGUAGCGGAGCGUUCCGUAAGCCGUUGAAGCCAGUCCGACGAGGAAUGGUGGAGGUAUCGGAAGUGAGAAUGCUGACAUAAGUAACGACCAACAGUGUGAGAAACACUGUCGCUGAAUGACCAAGGGUUCCUGCGUCAAGUUAAUCUGAGCAGGGUUAGCCGGCCCCUAAGGCGAGGCGGAAACGCGUAGUCGAUGGGAACCAUGUUAAUAUUCAUGGGCCUGGUGGUAGUGACGGAUCUGCAGUUUUGUUCCUUCUUAUUGGAUUGAAGGGGCGGGGCGAAUGGUUCCAGGAAAUAGCUCCACCAAUAUAGACCGUACCCGAAACCGACACAGGUGGUCAGGUAGAGUAUACCAAAGCGCUUGAGAGAACGAUGCUGAAGGAACUAGGCAACUUGCCCUCGUAACUUCGGGAUAAGAGGGCCCCACUUGUACGCAAGUAUGGGUGGGGGACACAAACUAGGGAGUAGCGACUGUUUAUUAAAAACACAGGGCUCUGCAAACACGAUUAGUGGAUGUAUAGGGUCUGACGCCUGCCCGGUGCUGGAAGGUUAAAAGGAGAUGUGCAAGCAUUGAAUUGAAGCCCCAGUAAACGGCGGCCGUAACAAUAACGGUCCUAAGGUAGCGAAAUUCCUUGUCGGGUAAGUUCCGACCCGCACGAAUGGCGUAACGACUUCUCCGGUGUCUCCAGCAUCGACUCAGUGAAAUUGAAUUCUCCGUGAAGAUGCGGAGUUCCCGCGGUUAGACGGAAAGACCCCGUGCACCUUUACUGUAGCUUUGCACUGGCAUUAGGAAAUGAUUGUGUAGGAUAGGUGGGAGACUAUGAAGCGUGGGCGCCAGCUCGCGUGGAGUCACCCUUGAAAUACCACCCUGUCGUUUCUUGAUGUCUAACCACGACUCGUAUAUCCGGGUCUGGGACCAUGCAUGGUAGGCAGUUUGACUGGGGCGGUCGCCUCCUAAAGAGUAACGGAGGCGCGCGAUGGUAAGCUCAGGACGGUCGGAAAUCGUCCAUUAGAGUGCAAUGGCAUAAGCUUGCCUGACUGCGAGACCCACAAGUCGAGCAGAGACGAAAGUCGGUCAUAGUGAUCCGGUGGUUCCAAG